CACGUAGGGAGCAAGCGUUGUUCGGAUUUAUUGGGCGUAAAGAGCUCGUAGGUGGUUCGGUAAGUCGGGUGUGAAAACUCUGGGCUCAACUCAGAGACGCCACCCGAUACUGCUGUGACUCGAGUCUGGUAGGGGAGUGUGGAAUUCCCAGUGUAGCGGUGAAAUGCGCAGAUAUUGGGAGGAACACCAGUGGCGAAGGCGGCACUCUGGGCCAGUACUGACACUGAGGAGCGAAAGCGUGGGUAGCGAACAGG
rnacentral:rRNA from 1 species